rnacentral:lncRNA from 1 species
UUUUUGAGAAGGCACCACGACCUUUGAAGAAAAAACCUCGGCCUCAUUUAUGAGAAGGCACCAUGGCCUUUGAAAAAAAGACCUCGGCCACCUUUUUGAGAAAGCAUCUCGGCCGCUAGGAAUUCUCGACUAAGAAUUUCGCCGCUAGGAAUUCUUCGGCCAUUAGAAAUUCUUGAUCGUUAGGAAUUCUUCGAUCGUUAGGAAUUCUC